rnacentral:misc_RNA from 1 species
CGAGCCCAUUUUCUCUCCGGCCCAAACAACGAACAAAACCAAUAUUAGGCGGGACGGAAAAUUCCCGAAUUUUCGAGCUUUCAGUCUCUACUUGUUCUUACAAUUUCCAGAACCUCACCGUCACCGGCGGUCUAUUUCCCGGCGACCCAACAUCCAACCAUGGCGGAGCAAGACCCUUACGCCAACAUCUUCUCCCAGAAAAACUCCCGUCUAGCUGACGACACGGUAUUCUUCUCCAUAUACCCAGACUUUACCUUAAACCCCACUUCUCCUCCAACCUCCAUAACUUCUCAACUCCAAUCCCUUCACCUCCAAAUCCUCCAAAAUCUCUCCCCUUUCACUUCCAAUUACAUAUGGCAACACGAACCCUUCACCCUCACCCUUUCCCCCGGCCCCACCCCUCCCCAUCUCUCCGGCAAACUCCGGUACGGGGACAACCUCGAAGACGAAUGGUUCGUCGUAUUCCUCCUUUUCGAAACCUCAAAACGCUUCCCUAGUGUGUCAAUUCGUGUUUGGGAUAGUGACGGGGAGUUCUUAUUGAUCGAAACUGCAUUUUAUCUCCCCCGUUGGGUUAACCCUGAUACAGCAAUGAACCGUGUUUUUAUCAGAGGUGGGUUUCUUCAUAUUAUCCCUAAUUCGGUAAUACCCACAACCCCAUCAAUCCACGAGGCGUUAAAUUUGUUAAGGAAUGUGAGUAGUACUAGAGCACCUGAAGGAGUGCAGCGUCAGUUAGAGAAUAGGUUGAAGGAGUAUCCCAAUAGAGCGGAGAAGAAUGUGCACAAGGUUAGGGUUAGGGUUCCCCUGUCAGUUGCAAAAGUGUUAAAGCAUGAGCCUUGUUUGAUUUCGCUUGCGGUGGAAGGAUUUUACGAUAGGGAUAUUGAUACAAUGAAGUUCGCGGCGGAGAUGGAGAGGUUUUUGGGGAAUGGGGGUAGUGGGGAGGAGCUGGUUCGAGUUUUGGUUACGAUGUCUAGGGCAAUGUAUGCACAGUUGGUGCAGCAGACAUUUCAGGCGCCGAAAUGUUAUCCGGCUUUGCCACCCAGGAGUGAUGUGGGUGCUUAUAUGGAAGCUGAGCUGGGAAUGAAGAUUGCUUGUGGAUUUGAGAUGAUUUAUCAGUUGAAAAAGAGGCAGGGCAUGGACGGAAAAGGGAGUACAUGGGAUGCGUUUAGGCUGAGUCUAGAGCGGAGUGGGUACUUCGAAGGGCUGUUACCAGGAUCGAAGGAGUAUAAAAGAUUGAUGAAGAAUGCUGAGGAGUAUUACAAGAAUAGUUCACUGCAUGCAAGAGAAAGUGCUACACUAAGUGCUCCAGUGCGAAGAAUAGAUGAGAUCCUUGCCCUUCCUGAUUCUGCUGAUGACUUUAAGGAUCAGGAGAUACCGCCAUCUGAUGAUGAUUCAUGGCUUUAUGGUGGAGAGGAUGAGCUAAAUUCCGUUCUUCAAGAGAGGCAAAAGGAGAUGGAACUUUACAAUUCAAAAAGGAAACAGAAAUCAAAAGAGCAGGAUGGGCCCAGCAAUCAUUCUGAUAAUUUUGAUCUAAAAGAUAUAUCGAACUCUAUGCAAGCAUUUGUCACAAAAGUGGCCAGUUAUGAAGGUGCAGAGGUUCCAGAGGACAGGAAUGUAAAGGAAGUGGACUUUGAUGUCGAUCACUUUAUGAAAGACCUGGAAUCGUUUAUGAGGGGUCAGGGCAAUGAAGACAUUGGCCGUGAUGUUGAUAUUGAAGAAGGGUCAUCAUCAGAUAUGGAGUUCGAUGAAUCUGAAGAUGAGAGUGAUAUUGCCGAGCCACAUGAUGAUAAUGAUGAGGGAGGUGCUGCUUUCAUGCAUUCGUAUUCGGACACUCUGAAUGAUGAACUGAAAGGCACCACACUAAGUAAUACCUUUGUCCGCGCAAAUGGAGAGUCUGAGUCCAUAAAGAAAGAUGAGGGAACAUCUACUGCUGCAGAAAACAUGGAAGAGGAGGAUUUCAGUCCUGUAGAUGUUGAUUUCAAUCUUGUAAAGAAUUUCCUGGAUUCGUUUUCUUCUCAAGAUGGACUUCCAGGACCUGCUUCUAACUUGCUUGGACUUAUGGGUCUACAGCUACCACCAGAUGCUAGCAAAGGGAAAUAACCAUAUUAUACACAAACUUGUUUCCUCAUUCUUCUUUUCCUUGCCUUUUUCUAAACGGCAAUCUUUACAAUACUAUGUAUUACGUAUGUUUUAACUUCAAACGGAGAAAAAAGGAGGAGGUGGAUUUAUGUGGUAUUUUUCAUUUUUGACCAUCAAAUAAUUUAUAUAUUGAUAAAUUAUGUAAAAAAUAUUAUAAGUUGACGAAAUUUAUCAUGACCAGGAAGUGAAGUAGUAGGUUUUGGUUGUGACUUUUUGACUUAGAACAUCAAAUUUGGAAUAAUGUAUACCUGAUUGUUUAUCAAUCAA